UACGUAGGGAGCUAGCGUUGUUCGGAAUUACUGGGCGUAAAGCGCGCGUAGGCGGCUUUGUAAGUUAGAGGUGAAAGCCCGGGGCUCAACCCCGGAACUGCCUUUAAAACUGCAUCGCUUGAAUCCGGGAGAGGUGAGUGGAAUUCCGAGUGUAGAGGUGAAAUUCGUAGAUAUUGGGAAGAACACCGGUGGCGAAGGCGGCUCUCUGGACCGGAUCUGACGCUGAGGCGCGAAAGCGUGGGGAGCAAACAGG
rnacentral:rRNA from 1 species